rnacentral:rRNA from 1 species
AGGAUUAACGCUGGCGGCGUGCCUAACGACAUGCAAGUCGAACGAGGUAGCAAUACCUAGUGGCAGACGGGUGAGUAACGCGUGGUCAACCUACCGUUGAGUGGGGGAUAACUAGCCGAAAGGUUAGCUAAUACCGCAUACGAGUCUCGGGGGCAUCCCUGGGCCUUAAAAGGAGCAAUCCGCUCGAUGACGGGACCGCGUCCCAUUAGCUAGAUGGUGGGGUAAUGGCCUACCAUGGCACCGAUGGGUAGCUGGUUUGAGAGAGCGACCAGCCACACUGGGACUGAGAAACGGCCCAGACUCCUACGGGAGGCAGCAGUGAGGAAUUUUCCGCAAUGGGCGAAAGCCUGACGGAGCGACGCCGCGUGUGGGAAGAAGGCCUUCGGGUCGUAAACCACUGUCGAAGGGGACGAUAAUGACGGUACCCUUGGAGGAAGCCCCGGCUAACUACGUGCCAGCAGCCGC